UGUUUGUUUUACAUUUUUUCCUUCCAACCGUAGGACAGUUUAUACAAUGAGCGUUCAACACUGACAGUCAAUCAGUAUAUGUCUCCUUCUCUGCAAGCCACAAUUGUAAACAAAUUAGAACUGAAAAUCAUCCUCUAAAGAAAUGAGAAAAUGGUGCAUGGUCAUGGUGCCUUGUCAGAGAAAAAACCCAAGGCGAAUGACUAGCUCCAAACUAAUGCAGUGAAAAGAGUCUACAGUAAUGCUCUCCAAGUUUAAAUGGUACUCUUAGCAGGAAGAGCAAUCCUCCACAAACGGUGUCAUUGCUUGUCAUAAAUGCUAUAAUCAAGGUAAGUUAUGUUUCUAGUACUUGGUGUAAUAUUUGGUAGAAUGCAUUAUUUGUAAAUUAAGUUUAUAAUUAUAACUUUCAGAAUUAGUGACUUUAUAAGCUCAGAAAUAAGCCUUUGAAGCAAUACCACAUAAUUACAUCAAACAUAAAUGUUAUUUAAAUGCACUCAGAAUUUAUGUACACUAAAUUCUAACUAUUUCUGCUAACAUAAGUGAAAGUACCUUGAAUAAUGGCCAGUAGGAUAACAAUGACAAAGAAGAAAAACGUGAUGUCGAAGACAAUUCGAUAAAUUUCAUAAGGGUCUCCAGCAGGAUCCUCAAUUUCAUCCCCAAUGCCACCACCAGAUCUUACACCCACAUACAUGUGGAAUAGGUAACACUAAAAAGAAAAAAGUGAGAAACUUUAUUUAUCAUUAAUUAUUUUGCCCUACUAAAAGUUACAGAAACAGAAGAUGUAAUAUCAUUCCUCAUGUAUCGCACGCUGAACCAAAAAUCUCUUAACAUCUUAACUAGUGUGGCUACAUCCUCAAGUAAACUUACAAAGAGGUAGGAGUCAGCAUCAAGUAUAUUAUACCCUCUUGUCAUUCCCUAUGUCUUACAGAUUAAGAUGUCUUUCUUUUCUUUAGUACUGUUCAACAAUAUUAUACCCAUUACUAUUAAUUCCUAAGGCUCAAAUUUGCUCUGAGAGAGUGGAGGACUUCUCUGAAAGUCUUGUAAUGGAAUUCAGGAAACAGUGUUAUAAAAUGUUGUUAUAUUAUUCACAGCAGGUAGAUCUGUCUGUGCUUAAGUGGUUUUUGGAUAAUUUCAUUUUGCAGUACUGGAUGUCAGUUUCAGUAUAUUUUACAUUAUUUAUGAUCUCAGAAACAGGCUCUGUUAUGUUUGAAGUGAAAGAAAUCACUUUAUAGAAAUGUUGCUGUGUGCUUUAUUUUCUAAACAUAGAAGCCUUCAUGGGAUGAUCUUUAAAAAUCUGGAUAUUUAAACCACGUAAACAUUUUAGAAUCUAUCCAUCUAUGUAAUCCUUCUGUAUGAAUCAGCUACAGAAUUUUGUAAACCACCUUAAGAAGUAGAAUAUGAGUGAAAAACAGUGAGAAUGUCUGAGACUAACUAGGGUUCUGAAGUCACAUUAGACAGCAGCUGUAGUGCUAAAUAAUUAUCAUGAAGUGAGACAUCUGGUCUUUCACGGGCAAACACAAACAAAACUAUACAUCCUCUGUUAGAAUGCAGCUUUACUUUUGACAUGACACCUUUGCUAUUUUAAUCACAGUUAAAUCAAUUUCAGAUUAUGUUUUUUACCUCACUUGGCGAAGUGGUUUGAAAUGUGACAAAGUUUAAUGAUUCCUAUUAGUAGUACAUCCAUUUUAUGACCAGAACAUUAUAUUCAAUCCACAGAGGGAUCAUUUCAAACAAUAUCACUAAGUUUUCGUACUUCGUAUCAUUUGUACGUGUGACUUACAGUGACUGUUUAAUUGAAAGUUCCAGAAUAGGGAAAAUCAUUAGUUGAAAUCUAUUGCAAACCUCUAUUCUGAGGUAUCUCUCACUAUUUUUGCACUUAAAGCAGGCAGCGAGUAUUCCAUGAAGGAAAUGAGGUGUCCACAAACUCAAUAGGUUCAGUUUCCUGAAAUUGUGCCACAUUUCUUUACAAAAAGAUCUGUAGAGUAGCUUUUCUUAUGACAGAAAAUUGUUGCUGGUUUCUGUUGCAAUCAGGUGGAAAUCAUAAGGGAAAUUAUUAAUGAUAGACUAUCACUCCCUUUAAUACUCCCUUUUGUACUCCCCCUUGACUUCUUCAUGAUUAAAUUACCAGCUGUAAGCAGGCUGACACAGGAGUAGUGCUAACAUAUUUCAUGUAAGAAGAGCUUACAAAACUUUGGAUCAAACUGUUCUUUACGUGUGCUACAGGAACACAGCUGCUUUUUGUAGGUCUGACCAAUUUGUCGCAAAAUUUGUUCCAUGUGCUUUAAGCAUAUGCUGUCUCUACAUGAGUUUAGACCACUGGGGAGUGAAGAGGGAAUUUUAAGACAGUAAACAUUUUCGAAAUAGCUAUAUAGCAAGAAGAAGAGAUAGAUGGCUUUAACAAUGAAAACAUCCUUUCGUGUGAUAUUGGACUAGAUGAUCUUUUGAGAUGCUUUUUCAAUCCCUGAUGUUCUGUGAUUUCAUCUUAAUUAUCCAUGUAAGAAUUCAGAAUGAGAUUUGAAGCAUGCUAGUGAUGUUUUACUUACCGUCAUCAUGUCAUCGCAUUUCAUAUCUGGUUCAUCUUCAUCUUCACUUUUAUUGUAGAAUUUGCGGAAGAAGUUGAAUGCCACAACAGUGUAAAGAUACACUACUACAGCCAGGAGUCCUACAGUGAGCACCAGCUGUAUAGGGAGACAGGACAUGAACGUUUUUCUCUCUCAAUUUCCUGGAUGUUGCAGGAAACAAUGUUGAGUUGCAGCUGUCAGACUGAUAACUGUGGAAGAGCUGACAGUCCUGCUGUUCUGCAGUGGAAAUGUUAACGCAGUAUGACUUUGAACUCCAAAAUGAGCAAGUCACAGAUAAGAAGAGGGACAAGGAACUAAGAAAGAUGGAUUGCCUUGAAGAGAGGAACCUCAUCUUCGAUGCCAUCAAAAUGUGAACUUAUCAAAAUGAAGGAAAGAAAAUUAUGUUACGUUUCAUUUUCUUCUGAUUUUUUCCUCACCUGAAGACGCAAGAGGUAGUCAACCGUACUAAUGAUGAUAUUCACUGUUGUGGUGUUGCCCAUCUGAGUACGUAGGUAAUUUUGAAAAUCUGAAGUAAAUAAGGCAUUUGUGCUUAGUUAGUAUGGACAAGAAAGAAAAAUACAAGAUUGUUUUUAUAUAUUCAUGGAGAAGAUACUCUUUUUCAGUACCUUGCUGGGUAAGGAUGCUCAUUAUCUGUGCUGGAUAUUGAACUACUGUAUGCCACUACACUCACAUAACUGUUAACCAUAUGUCUGUCUUUGUAAGAGGUUUUGGUAUUAAUGAUCUGUAUAAAAUCUGAAACUACAUUAAGACUUAGAAAUUCUAAUUAACAUCCACAAUUAACAUUUUUGGUGUGUCACUCUCCCUCAGAAUACUAAAUCAGGAAAAAAAAAAAUCUUAGAAUGAGUUACAGUCAGUUAUGUUUAAGCGUAGGGUUAUCAUUUGCUCUCAUCAUUUUUUCCCCAAAAUUAAGUCUUCUUGCUUACCAUUGUUAUGCCCUUCACAGAGCAGUUGUAAAAAUCUAAAUAGAUCUCGAGUGAAUUCAUCAUGCUGCAACACUUUUUCACCUUUAAAAUAUAUAAAUACAAUGAUUACGUGACAGCUUCCAUUAUUAAAUAUGCAGAACACAAUCUUACAGCAUCCUUCAGAACUGAAGAUUCUGGCUAAAAAUACAGUACUAUAAAUGCUGCUUUAAGGCAAUUUAAAGAAACAGGCUGAUAAUAAUGAAAAGAAAAAUGGGGUCCAAAAGCCAAGCCAAAGCAUUUAGCACUCCAAUGCAUCCGUGGUUAAAAAAAAAUAAAAAUAAAAAAAAUUAAGACAACAAACAAACUACACAUUAUAUAUCUAAUAAGCAAAUGGUUAGUUAUGAAUAAAAUUGUGCCUUAAAUAUGAACGACAUUUCAUUAAUAAGCAUCAAACUUUUUCCAAGCUGAACACACAACUUGCUGCAGACCAUAACGCUAAACCUGAAGAUGUCUGAGAAGAUGCAGUUAGAGAUUUCUUUCUGCAUUUGCAACAGACUUUCGGAACAAUAGUAUUGAAAACUGUACCCAAACAUACCACGCUCACGUACGAUGACUGUGGAUUGAAGAAAAAUAACAAAAAUACAAGAUGAGAAUAUUGGAAGUUACAUUUUUGUCAUCAAAAUUAUUGCUAAAGAUUUCAUACAUGUAAAAAAUACUCAGUUUAACAACUUACAGUUAUUUAUAUUCAGUUUAACAACAGAAAGCUCAAGCCAAGUUUAAUAAGUUCUAUUUAAAGAAGGAAGCUCAAAUAUUUUAAGUGCUACUGGAAUCAGUUUCAUUGUACUUACGAGUUCCUUCUUCAGUAACCAUUCCCAGGCCUUCUGCUUUAUUUUGUCUCUCAAAUGCAUUCAAGUCAAGAACACUUAUAUAAAAAAAAAUAAUAAUAAUGAGAAAGUGCUGCAGUAAACAAUGGAAAAUUAUAAGAAAUUUCUGGAAGCCUUCAAUAACUGCACUUCAAUAACUAGCUUGACCUGCUGCAACAUGUGCUAUCACAGCACUUAAUAUAAGUAUUAAAUCAAAGUGCUUGGGAUGAAAAUAAGGCUCCAGUGUCCAUUUCUGUAAAAUAAUGAGUCUCAGAUCAGGUCUGACUACUCUUCCAGUACAUCUCUACAUCUAACUUCUCUUCCAGUAACAUCAUUGAUGGUUUCACGUGUAAGUGAAAAGAAAUCUGAAAUUACACUCUAUAUUAACUUAAACCUGUUUGCCAAAAGAACAUCACUGCAAUUGCUUUUCACAGUUAGGCUGUUUUCCACUGAAUUUCACUACUACUACACUGUUGUUCUAUAUCUUAUACAUUAUUACAUUAUUUUAAAGACAAAAGUAGAAUGUUUGAUUCCAUUUUCCAAAAAUAUAUUUAUAGAUAGAUAUCUAUAUAGAUAUAUAAUCAGAGACGCUGUACCUACUAAGGUCAAAAUACACAGAAAUCUAUGCCUUUGUACUUCUUUGCCACAGCUCAGCAUCUGAAAUAUCAGAUGAUAAUUUUUCUAAGUCUGAAUGCUUUCAUUCAAACAGUUCAGAUAUAAUUUUAUGAUAUAUACUUCUUUUCAAUUACACUGCAGUGCAUUCACAUGUUCUAAGUUCCUGUGACAUUCUCAAAAACAAAAUGUGAAGCAUUUUUCAAAACAUCAUUUUCAUUCUCUCCUCUGUGCUCAAAUCAUUUUAUCAAUAACAUUUUAAAUCAAGUCCUGCACAAUGCGUACACAGUUGUUCAUAUAUUCACCGCAUGUCCUGUUUGAGAAAGUACUUGCUAAAUUGUUUUACAUAAAUGUGAAAAAAGACAGUGUAUGUUAUUUAAUUAGGCUGCAACUGUUAAAUAAUAACUUCUGCAGUGCAGGUCAUCGUUCCUUCCACAGUUUUUCCUUUUCUGUGAUAUCUUCUCCACUUGUCAUUCAGUCUGCUGUUUCAGAACCUUUCUGUUUCUCUAAAUGGCUGAGGAAAGGAGUUUGUCUACUGUAAGAGCAAUGAGAUACACCAACAAUUUUCCACCUUCUUUAGGAGAGUCUUUUACCUUAACUAAUUGGACGUUCUGGUUUGUCAAGUGAAUGGACUACCAUGGAUGGUCUCACUGGCCACAUGCCACCUCUAACAAGCUUGAUACAUAUGCAGAGGAUUCAGGUGAAGAGAUUAUGUGACAUGUCAGAGAGGUCCAGAAACUGAUAGCUUAAUAAAGCUCUAGUGGCCUGUCUCUCCUUCAGUGAUGGCUCUUCUCCAUCCUUAGAACCAUCCAGAAAUCUUGAAGGAUCUGGGACCAGUAAAGGAGCUGUUACUUUUUGCUUUUCUGCCUCUCCAAACUAAUGCUUCAAAUGCAUACCUAGACUAUGCUUUAUUUUCUCAGUUGGAAAAAUAUUUUAAGAUGUUAACACAGCAUUCCUCUGAUUCACAGAUAGUUUCAUUAAAAAGCAGAGUUCUAGAAUCUGUGACUUGUGUAAUUUACAUCUAAAAAAGCCAUCUGCACCAGACCAUCAAUCUCAAUAAAAGUGAAGCUGUAAUAACAUGAUCUUUGCUUUUACCUGCAGGACUGCAUCAAACCAGAAAGACUUUGAAAGAAUCCAGCAUCCUUUUUCUCCUUCAAGUAGUCUAGCAUUUUCUAGAGUACACAAACACACAUUUGGGGGAAAAAAGUCUAUAUUAAAGUUAUGUAAAUUAAAAAUGCCCUAAAUUACCAUUCAGAACUAGCAGGUCACUAGUAAGGAAUAAUGUCACUGUUAUUGGACCAAAUACUCCAAUACAAAUACUCCAUGUAUUCCAAUAUAUUUUCAUUGUUUAGCCUAAAAUUAAAUUAACAACAAUAAAAAUAAAACUAGUUUCCUUUACACAAGCAAGAUUCAAUAGUUAGAAAAGCAUUACCUGUUGAACUAUUGUAUUCCCACCAUUUAGAAUAGCAAUACCAAGUUUUAGUGUUUCAACAACCAUGGGUCCUGUAUGACCUGUCAAAAUAAGGGUACUGCUGAUAAAAUUUGUAAUUAUAAACUAGUCAGUCAGAAAGACAGUUCAGAAAUUUUACCUAACGUAGUCCCUAUUCACAUUUAUUUUGCUGCAUUAUGUAUCAUGUAUAAAUCAGAGAUGACAUAAAAAGUUGCAUAUGAUAAUGUGUUACGUCAUUAUGCAUAUGUAUAUGUAUAGCAUUAUACAUGAUAAUAUGUACUUCAGUUCUCCUCUGAACAUUACCUUUGCUUGCACUGAUCAUCUGAAGGACCAUCUCAGCAGCUCCACGAUCAUGUAAGCGAGCUUGCUGAUAAAGAGUUCUCUGCUUUUCCAUUUCUUUCUCCUAAGUUUGGAGAAAAAAAUAAAAAUAAAAUAAAAAAAAAAGAUACAGACUGGAACUCAUUCAAACAACAUAUACAAAUGAAAAACCUGAAAAUGCUGAAGGCUAUUUGCCUUCACACUGCCUUUCUUCUACAUGAAUAACCUAGUAAAGCUUCUCAAUAUACACUGUGUUAUCCUUUUAUUUAUUCUUGUGCUUAUAUUUAAAAUGCUCUCUUCUAAUUUAGACAAGCAGAAACAAAUAAGAU